rnacentral:rRNA from 1 species
GUAAGUUGCACUGCUUCCCUGAACUCAUCUGACCUCAUCUGAUUCUGGAAGCUAAGCAGGGUUAGGCUUUGCUGGAAGGGAGACCAACAGGAAUACCAAGGAUCUCCAUUUAAA